AAAAAACCAUAGAUUUAUCAUAUUAUAAUAUUCGUCAUCUGUGGUAUACGGCAAUCGAUGACAUUCGUCGAAGACGAUUAACAAUUCUAUAAUAUAGUCUUAAUGAACAGUACUGAAGUACAUGACAAAAUCACGAUUGAAGAUUGAUAUGAAGAAAAUUUGCAGUUUCUUCGGCGGCGGUGCACUACUACGUAUAGUCUGAAGAUUGACACAACUCGGUUUCACGGGAACAGUCGACGCUUAAAUCUUGCCAUAAUAUCGGAAAAACAAAAAAAGUGAAAUAAUUACGCUAUAACCCGGAGGACGAUUGGCAGUAUUAUUAAGAAGCUCAUCUGAAUAACACAAA